GCUAGUCGAUUAGAGCCCACCAUGCUAGUCGACUAGGGUUAGGAAUGAGAAGAGGUGGAGGCAAAUAAGAACCUUGAUUAGUUAGCACUAAUCAAUUAAAAAGAGAGUUUUGGAAAUAAAUUGAAUUAAAAUCUACAAUUUAAAUUAUAAAUUUAAUGACAAUUAAACUAGGAAAUAAUUCAAAGAAAGGAAGUUUAAAAGGUUUAAAAUAAUUCCUAAAUUAUCCUAGGCGAGUUGUAAGAUCUAGGGACAAAAAUGGAAAAUCACUAGUGGAUGAGAAACCCUUAGGAAAUACUAUAAAAGAAAGAGGAGAGAGAAGAAAUAAACUAGACCCUUGGGGCAUAUUGAAGGUAGACGAUUUCUCACUCCCUAUUCCUCUCUUUCUUUUAUGUUGGCUGGUGGUAGAGUUCUCAUGAGUGAUUAUAUGGUCGAUCCUUAAGUUAAGCUAGGCUCUUGAGGAUCUAGGAGAAAGAAGAAGAAAUCCAGAAAGAAGGUAUGGAUUCUCCUAUCCUAAGUUAAGGUUGGAAUAAAAGCAUGUGGUUAGACCUUUACUCUAACACAUAUUUUUAUAUAUUGUUCAUAUUUAAUUUCAAAAUGAUUUUUUUAUUUAUGAUUGUAUGAUUUAGAAUAAGUUGUAAACUUGAAUCAUAAAAUCGGGAGAAGAAAAAAAAACGACUCAAAUUAGAACAUAUAGGAACAUCAAGUUUAUUUGCACGUAUUCAUUAAAUUUAUUAUUUCAAGCAUGAAAUCAAUUAUACAAUGAUUAUAUGACUUCUAGUUUUGAUAUUCUUGUAUGAUUUAAACCUCAAAUAUGAAAAUCGAUCCUUAGGCCGGUUAGGAUUAUUAGGUUUAUGUCAAUAUGUCCCUAAGGUUUUAACUUAGUUUACAUCUUUUUGUCUUUAGAUGAUUGCUAUGAUUUUCGUAUGACUAAGAGUUACGAUAAGGUUAUAUGAAUUAAACCAUUAAAUAUGGAAAUCCAUCCUUAGGUUAUGUAUGAUUAGAGUUAACUAGUAAUUCAAAGUAAAGAAAAUAACAGAAAAUAUUUAAGAUGUAAUCAAUUUAAAAAUAAAAUCAAUCUUAAACUUAGAAAUUUCAUAUCUUAAGGUUCACUCACGAAAAGUAAGUAAUUGCAUGUGUAAGUCCAUCAAUUAAAUUGGGGUUUAUUAUGCUACUUUAAAAUCUUGGUAUAAAUGUAAAUCAACUUCUUUAAAAUAUUUACAAGCUAUGAUUUAUUAGUGUUUUGAUUAAAAUAGAAAUUUAUACACUUGAAUCUAACAAGGGAUAUGGGUAAAUUCUAAGAGAAUAAGUAAAGAAAUUACAUCAUAAAAUAUAAGAGAAUAAGUAAUGGAAUUACACCAAAACAUUUCCUUGGUGAGCAUGUGGCCUAAAGCCCAAGGGUUGGAAUGACCCUUGGGUUAUGAGUGGGGUCGGGUUAGUAACCUAGUGACGCACAAGAGUUCUCAGGGAGACCUUCUGCGCUCAUAUGGUCUAAUUCCGAUCUAAGUUAAGAGAGUAGGAGAGGACGAAACUAGGUUGAAUCAAGGUUUUCACCAGGGGGCCCUUGAUUCAUCUUAAGGUUCAUUCUGGGUUCACACUCACUUAGCUAGUACGUUGGGAAUGAAUGGACCAGGGAGAUGGUCGACCUGAAUCCAUAAUUGGGAGUUCGGACCUCGAUAUGAACGAGGCAAACCAAACUGAGGCCAACAAGUAAAGAAUGGAACUGGAAAAGAAAGAAAUCUGAUGGAUUGUGCCCCGACGGUCGAGUCUGGUCGAGUAUGUUGGAUCGUGAUCCGAGGCUAUAAGGGGGGAUAAUAGCCUCUUUUCGAUUUAUACAGGUUGAUUGCGGAAUUACCUGUAAACACUUAAUAAACAAAUGGUUGAACAAUAAUGAUAUAAAGAUAUUAUAACUUUGAUUGAUAUAAUAACGUAAUUAUUACUUUUCGAAGCUUACCAUAGUAUAUGAAUACUGAGUCAACUUGCUUGAUAGUGUUUUACACACAAUUAUAGUAUAUGAAUAAUAAGUUAUAUUGUAAACACAAAUUGUAUUGUAGAGUAAAUGACCAGAUAACUGGAUAUAUUGAUAAGCAAGUAAAUGACCAGAUAACUGGACAUAUUGAUAAGCAAGUAAAUGACCAGAUAACUGGAUAUAUAUGAUAAGUAAAUGCUUGAACAAAUAUAUGAAUAAGGAUUUAAAGCAAUGAAUAUAACCUCAGAUAGUUGACCAGAUAACUGGAUGAGGGAUCUGCGUAAAGUAGUCAACCUCUGUAUUUGACCAGAUAACUGGAAAAGGGAUCCUUUUCAAUUAUGUGUUGUUUAGUUGUUUUUAGAUGAAAGAUAAAAACUAAAGUUAACAAAGAACAACACAAGAGAUUUAUACUGGUUCACCCAAACAAGGGCUAAUCCAGUCCCGACCAACUGUCGAAAUUCACUCGCCUAAAGGUUAUGGCAAAACCUUAGAGUAUCAAGGAAACUCUUAAGAACCUCUCUAAGCUUUAAGGCUACUUCGCUUAGGAAUCAAUCUUUUACGGGUAGACUCACACCUUAGAGUAUCAAGGGCACUCUUAAGAACCUCUAACUUUUGUGAGUAAGUUAGUACCUUAGAGUAUCAAGGAACUCUUAAAAACCUUUCUAAGCUUUAAGGCUACUUCGCUUAGGAACUAGUUUUUUACGGGUAGACUCACACCUUAGAGUAUCAAGGGCACUCUUAAGAACCUUUAACUUUUACGGGUAAGUUAGUACCUUAGAGUAUCAAGGAACUCUUAAAAACCUAGAAAUCUUUCAAGGUAGAUUCGACCUAAGAGUUUUCCCGGAAACUCUAUAAAACCAAACUAGAGCUUUAUGGUUGAACUCGAAAACCUUUUCUCACACUUUGGUACUAUUGAGACAACCCUCUCAACCAAAGUGGACACACACAAGAGGUGAUUAGAGGAGUGGAAUAUUAAAGCAAACAACACUUCUUACUUGUAAAGAUGAACAAGAAGAUUAGAAGAAGAAGUACGGUUGGAGAGCUUUUGAAGCUUUGGAAAGCUAGGACACUUGAGAACUUGAAAGCUUGGAAGCUUGGAGGCAAAAACGUGUGGGCAAAUGUGGAGUGAAAGCUCUUGACUUUGCUUG
rnacentral:lncRNA from 1 species